rnacentral:snRNA from 1 species
GGCUCUGUGCAGUGGCAGUACAGGAGCCACUGGGGUUUAUCCGAGGAGCAAUUAUUGCUAAUUAAAAACUGUUCUCAUUACCCUGCCAUGACAGCUUGAAGUAUAGUCACCUUGACAAUAGUGUUUACAGAGAC